rnacentral:rRNA from 1 species
AUUGAACGCUGGCGGCAGGCCUAACACAUGCAAGUCGAGCGGAUGAGUGGAGCUUGCUCCAUGAUUCAGCGGCGGACGGGUGAGUAAUGCCUAGGAAUCUGCCUGGUAGUGGGGGACAACGUUUCGAAAGGAACGCUAAUACCGCAUACGUCCUACGGGAGAAAGCAGGGGACCUUCGGGCCUUGCGCUAUCAGAUGAGCCUAGGUCGGAUUAGCUAGUUGGUGAGGUAAAGGCUCACCAAGGCGACGAUCCGUAACUGGUCUGAGAGGAUGAUCAGUCACACUGGAACUGAGACACGGUCCAGACUCCUACGGGAGGCAGCAGUGGGGAAUAUUGGACAAUGGGCGAAAGCCUGAUCCAGCAAUGCCGCGUGUGUGAAGAAGGUCUUCGGAUUGUAAAGCACUUUAAGUUGGGAGGAAGGGCAGUAAGUUAAUACCUUGCUGUUUUGACGUUACCAACAGAAUAAGCACCGGCUAACUUCGUGCCAGCCGCCGCGGUAACAC